rnacentral:tRNA from 1 species
GCACCUGUAACUCAGCCUGGAUAGAGUGCUUCCCUCCUAAGGAAGAAGUCGGGGGUUCGAAUCCUCCCAGGUGCA